AGCGAACGCUGGCGGCAGGCUUAACACAUGCAAGUCGAGCGGGCACUUCGGUGUCAGCGGCAGACGGGUGAGUAACACGUGGGAACGUACCCUUCGGUUCGGAAUAACGCGGGGAAACUAGCGCUAAUACCGGAUACGCCCUGGUGGGGAAAGGUUUACUGCCGAAGGAUCGGCCCGCGUCUGAUUAGCUAGUUGGUGGGGUAAUGGCCUACCAAGGCGACGAUCAGUAGCUGGUCUGAGAGGAUGAUCAGCCACACUGGGACUGAGACACGGCCCAGACUCCUACGGGAGGCAGCAGUGGGGAAUAUUGGACACUGGGCGCAAGCCUGAUCCAGCCAUGCCGCGUGAGUGAUGAAGGCCUUAGGGUUGUAAAGCUCUUUUGUCCGGGACGAUAAUGACGGUACCGGAAGAAUAAGCCCCGGCUAACUUCGUG
rnacentral:rRNA from 1 species